CUUCAAUCCAUCCAUAUUCUUUACACACCCUUUCUACCCUUCUUCCUCUAGAAAUAUUAAUGGGACCUUCUGCUGCUGUUUACUCAAAAGUAUCCUCAAGUCUCCCAAACAUUAUGGGUAGGAGAAAUCUCCAGGUGACAACAUUUCAUCCUCUCCAGUUACCUUAGACGUCCUCUCCAGACAUGGUAUCUGAGAUUUCUCAAGCUCCAUUGUGAAAAACAGGUGAAUUUUUUUGCCCUUGCUAAGGCCACAGUCUAACAACUCCAAAACUGCUUCCGUAGCUAGGACUUGGCUGGCAGAAAUCUAAGUAUAUCAGUAACUCAGUUUUCCAUCCAUAGCCACAACUGCCUUUCCCCACAUGAUCUCCACUCUUCCACUGGUUCCUCAGCUAAAGUUCAUAUUUGACUCUAACCCAUGCCCACUCCUUCAUUUCAAACCUUGUUUCUUCCUAGACAUCCUGCCUCUCCCCCACUGUCUUUAUUGCUUCAGUCUUCCCCUGCCUUAUUUGCUCUUGUCCUUCUCCUGACUACCCAUCCUAUCCCCUUUCUUCCCUAUUUGCUUUUUCAGUCUUCCAAUGCAUCUUCCUCGGUCGGAGUUGGACAUCUCUGCAGUCUCUGGUGGUUCAGUCAAAUGGCUUGCAUCUUCUCUGAGUUGCCCAAGGCAGGAGCUUGCUCUCCUUUGCUACUACCCGUUCAGAUCCGGCUUGUCUGUGUCCUGCAGCUGAGUGGAAAAGAAGAAAUUUCGAGUGGCAAAGAAAUCUGGGAUGACCGUGAUUGUGUUAUGUGCCUUUCCUGGAAAAAUCCCUUUAUGUGAUAGAUGGCCUGAAGACACUGGUACAUUUGGACUGCAGCUUUUCCAGUAACCCAGCAGGAUUUGGUGGGUGGAGGAAGGGGAAGGAACUCGGGGAGCUGUGACAAUGGGAAAAUCUUGGCAAGGACUUGCAUACACAGUCUCGCAAUCGGCCUCAAUGUCCCAACUGUUACCAGAAGGGAUGAGGAAAGCUCAGAACAGGGUGUGUGAAGGCAGCCACAAACUCGAGCCCUG
rnacentral:lncRNA from 1 species